rnacentral:rRNA from 1 species
CGGGAGGCUGCAGCAGUGAGGAAUAUUGCACAAUGGGGGGAACCCUGAUGCAGCAACGCCGCGUGGAGGAUGACGCAUUUCGGUGUGUAAACUCCUUUUAUAUGUCAAGAAAAUGACGGUAGCAUAUGAAUAAGCACCGGCUAACUCCGUGCCAGCAGCCGCGGUAAUACGGAGGGUGCAAGCGUUACUCGGAAUCACUGGGCGUAAAGGACGCGUAGGCGGGUUGGAAAGUCAGGUGUGAAAUCCUACAGCUUAACUGUAGAACUGCACUUGAAACUUCUAAUCUAGAGUAUGGGAGGGGGAGAUGGAAUUAGUGGUGUAGGGGUAAAAUCCGUAGAUAUCACUAGGAAUACCUAAAGCGAAGGCGAUCUCCAGGAACAUUACUGACGCUAAGGCGUGAAAGCGUGGGGAGCAAACAGGAUUAGAUACCCGCGUAGUC